GGAUGUGAGGGCGAUUUGGCUGCAACAUCUGUGUCACCCCAUUGAUGGCCAGGGUUGAUUCGGCUGAUCUGGCUGGCUAGGCAGGUGUCUCCUUCCUCCCUCACCGCUCCAUGUGUGUCCCUCCAGAAGCUGCGCACUUGGUUAAAGAGGACAGCCUUUCCCGAUAGGAGGACCGUCCUUCGGUCAAGGGUAUACGAGUCAGUGCUCCCCUGCUAGAACCUCCAAACAAGUCCCAGCAGCAUUUUUACGCUUCAGUUGCUAUUUAACCUACUAUUUAUUCAUAGCAUUACUGUUUUACUGAAUUUUCAGUGUAAGGCCCAA
rnacentral:snRNA from 1 species